UACGUAGGGUCCGAGCGUUGUCCGGAAUUACUGGGCGUAAAGAGCUCGUAGGUGGUUUGUCGCGUUGUUCGUGAAAACUCACAGCUUAACUGUGGGCGUGCGGGCGAUACGGGCAGACUUGAGUACUGCAGGGGGAGACUGGAAUUCCAGGUGUAGCGGUGAAAUGCGUAGAUAUCUGGAGGAAUACCGGUGGCGAAGGCGGCAUCCUGGACCGAGAUUGACGCUGAGGAGCGAAAGCUAGGGGAGCAAACGGG
rnacentral:rRNA from 1 species